CAGGAAAACAUCAACAAGCUAACGUCACGUAUCACAGCAAUACCAGGAAAACAUCAAGCUAACGUCACGUAUCACAGUAAUACCAAGAAAACAUCAACAAGCUAACGUCACGUAUCACAGCAAUACCAGGAAAACAUCAACAAGCUAACGUCACGGAUCACAGUAAUACCAGGAAAACAUCAACAAGCUAACGUCACGUAUCACAGCAAUACCAGGAAAACAUCAACAAGCUAACGUCACGAAUCACAGUAACACCAGGAAAACAUCAACAAGCUAACGUCACGGAUCACAGUAAUACCACGAAAACAUCAACAAGCUAACGUCACGGAUCACAGUAAUACCAGGAAAACAUCAACAAGCUAACGUCACGUAUCACAGUAAUACCAGGAAAACAUCAACAAGCUAACGUCACGUAUCACAGUAACACAAGGAAAACAUCAACAAGCUAACGUCACGUAUCACAGUAACACAAGGAAAACAUCAACAAGCUAACGUCAGGGAUCACAGCAAUACCAGGAAAACAUCAACAAGCUAACGUCACGUAUCACAGUAAUACCAGGAAAACAUCAACAAGCUAACGUCGGGGAUCACAGUAAUACCAGGUAAACAUCAACAAGCUAACGUCACGGAUCACAGUAACACAAGAAAAACAUCAACAAGCUAACGUCAGGGAUCACAGCAAUACCAGGAAAACAUCAACAAGCUAACGUCACGUAUCACAGUAAUACCAGGAAAACAUCAACAAGCUAACGUCAGGGAUCACACUAAUACCAAGAAAACAUCAACAAGCUAACAUCACGUAUCACAG